GCAUAUCAAUAAGCGGAGGAAAAGAAACCAACAGGGAUUGCCCCAGUAACGGCGAGUGAAGCGGCAACAGCUCAAAUUUGAAAUCUGGCCCCAGGGUCCGAGUUGUAAUUUGUAGAGGAUGCUUUUGGCGCGGUGCCUUCUGAGUUCCCUGGAACGGGACGCCACAGAGGGUGAGAGCCCCGUAUAGUCGGACACCAAGCCUCUGUAAAGCUCCUUCGACGAGUCGAGUAGUUUGGGAAUGCUGCUCAAAAUGGGAGGUAAAUCUCUUCUAAAGCUAAAUACAGGCUAGAGACCGAUAGCGCACAAGUAGAGUGAUCGAAAGAUGAAAAGCACUUUGAAAAGAGGGUUAAAAAGCACGUGAAAUUGUUGAAAGGGAAGCGCUUGUGACCAGACUUGCGCCCGGUUGAUCAUCCAGCGUUCUCGCUGGUGCACUCUGCCGGGCUCAGGCCAGCAUCGGUUCUUGCGGGGGGAUAAAAGCUGUGGGAAUGUAGCUCCCUCGGGAGUGUUAUAGCCCGCUGCAGAAUACCCCCGCGGGGACCGAGGUACGCGUUCCGCAAGGAUGCUGGCGUAAUGGUCACCAGCGACCCGUCUUGAAACACGGACCAAGGAGUCAAGCAUUAGGGCGAGUGUUUGGGUGUCAAACCCGCACGCGAAAUGAAAGUGAACGUAGGUGAGAGCUUCGGCGCAUCAUCGACCGAUCCUGAUGUAUUCGGAUGGAUUUGAGUAAGAGCCUUACCGCUUGGACCCGAAAGAUGGUGAACUAUGCUUGAAUAGGGUGAAGCCAGAGGAAACUCUGGUGGAGGCUCGCAGCGGUUCUGACGUGCAAAUCGAUCGUCAAAUUUGAGCAUGGGGGCGAAAGACUAAUCGAACCAUCUAGUAGCUGGUUACCGCCGA
rnacentral:rRNA from 1 species